GACGAACGCUGGCGGCGUGCCUAAUACAUGCAAGUAGAACGCUGAAGAGAGGAGCUUGCUCUUCUUGGAUGAGUUGCGAACGGGUGAGUAACGCGUAGGUAACCUGCCUUGUAGCGGGGGAUAACUAUUGGAAACGAUAGCUAAUACCGCAUAACAAUGGAUGACACAUGUCAUUUAUUUGAAAGGGGCAAUUGCUCCACUACAAGAUGGACCUGCGUUGUAUUAGCUAGUAGGUGAGGUAAUGGCUCACCUAGGCGACGAUACAUAGCCGACCUGAGAGGGUGAUCGGCCACACUGGGACUGAGACACGGCCCAGACUCCUACGGGAGGCAGCAGUAGGGAAUCUUCGGCAAUGGGGGCAACCCUGACCGAGCAACGCCGCGUGAGUGAAGAAGGUUUUCGGAUCGUAAAGCUCUGUUGUAAGUCAAGAACGGGUGUGAGAGUGGAAAGUUCACACUGUGACGGUAGCUUACCAGAAAGGGACGGCUAACUACGUGCCAGCAGCCGCGGUAAUACGUAGGUCCCGAGCGUUGUCCGGAUUUAUUGGGCGUAAAGCGAGCGCAGGCGGUUUGAUAAGUCUGAAGUUAAAGGCUGUGGCUCAACCAUAGUUCGCUUUGGAAACUGUCAAACUUGAGUGCAGAAGGGGAGAGUGGAAUUCCAUGUGUAGCGGUGAAAUGCGUAGAUAUAUGGAGGAACACCGGUGGCGAAAGCGGCUCUCUGGUCUGUAACUGACGCUGAGGCUCGAAAGCGUGGGGAGCGAACAGGAUUAGAUACCCUGGUAGUCCACGCCGUAAACGAUGAGUGCUAGGUGUUGGAUCCUUUCCGGGAUUCAGUGCCGCAGCUAACGCAUUAAGCACUCCGCCUGGGGAGUACGACCGCAAGGUUGAAACUCAAAGGAAUUGACGGGGGCCCGCACAAGCGGUGGAGCAUGUGGUUUAAUUCGAAGCAACGCGAAGAACCUUACCAGGUCUUGACAUCCCGAUGCUAUUUCUAGAGAUAGAAAGUUACUUCGGUACAUCGGUGACAGGUGGUGCAUGGUUGUCGUCAGCUCGUGUCGUGAGAUGUUGGGUUAAGUCCCGCAACGAGCGCAACCCCUAUUGUUAGUUGCCAUCAUUCAGUUGGGCACUCUAGCGAGACUGCCGGUAAUAAACCGGAGGAAGGUGGGGAUGACGUCAAAUCAUCAUGCCCCUUAUGACCUGGGCUACACACGUGCUACAAUGGUUGGUACAACGAGUUGCGAGUCGGUGACGGCGAGCUAAUCUCUUAAAGCCAAUCUCAGUUCGGAUUGUAGGCUGCAACUCGCCUACAUGAAGUCGGAAUCGCUAGUAAUCGCGGAUCAGCGCGCCGCGGUGAAUACGUUCCCGGGCCU
rnacentral:rRNA from 1 species